rnacentral:rRNA from 1 species
UACGUAGGGUGCAAGCGUUGUCCGGAAUUAUUGGGCGUAAAGAGCUCGUAGGCGGUUUGUCACGUCGGAUGUGAAAACCCGAGGCUUAACCUCGGGCCUGCAUUCGAUACGGGCUGACUAGAGUUCGGUAGGGGAGACUGGAAUUCCUGGUGUAGCGGUGAAAUGCGCAGAUAUCAGGAGGAACACCGGUGGCGAAGGCGGGUCUCUGGGCCGAUACUGACGCUGAGGGGCGAAAGCGUGGGGAGCGAACAGG